AUUGAACGCUGGCGGCAGGCUUAACACAUGCAAGUCGAGCGGGGGAAGGUAGCUUGCUACUGGACCUAGCGGCGGACGGGUGAGUAAUGCUUAGGAAUCUGCCUAUUAGUGGGGGACAACAUCUCGAAAGGGAUGCUAAUACCGCAUACGUCCUACGGGAGAAAGCAGGGGAUCUUCGGACCUUGCGCUAAUAGAUGAGCCUAAGUUGGAUUAGCUAGUUGGUGGGGUAAAGGCCUACCAAGGCGACGAUCUGUAGCGGGUCUGAGAGGAUGAUCCGCCACACUGGGACUGAGACACGGCGCAGACUCCUACGGGAGGAAGCAGUGGGGAAUAUUGGACAAUGGGGGGAACCCUGAUCCAGCCAUGCCGCGUGUGUGAAGAAGGCCUUAUGGUUGUAAAGCACUUUAAGCGAGGAGGAGGCUACUCUAGUUAAUACCUAGGGAUAGUGGACGUUACUCGCAGAAUAAGCACCGGCUAACUCUGUGCCAGCCGCCGCCGUAA
rnacentral:rRNA from 1 species